rnacentral:misc_RNA from 1 species
GAAAUGCGAUAAGUAGUGUGAAUUGCAGAAUUCAGUGAAUCAUCGAAUCUGUGAACGCACAUUGCGCCCCUUGGUAUUCCAUGGGGCAUGCCUGUUCGAGCGGCAUUUGUACCCUCAAGCUCUGCUUGGUGUUGGGUGUUUGUCCCCGUCUCCGCGCGUGGACUCGCCCCAAAGUGAUUGGCAGCCGGCGUACUGGUCCCGGAGCGCAGCACAUGUCGCGCAAACGAGUGCCUUGGUACGGCGGCGUCCAUAAGCCCCUCUCUCACGCUCUUGACCUCGGAUCAGGUAGUGAUACCCGCUGAACUUAAGC